UACGAAGGGGGCUAGCGUUGCUCGGAAUUACUGGGCGUAAAGCGCACGCAGGCGGCUUUCUAAGUCGGGGGUGAAAUCCUGGAGCUCAACUCCAGAACUGCCUUCGAUACUGGAAAGCUCGAGUCCGGGAGAGGUGAGUGGAACUGCGAGUGUAGAGGUGAAAUUCGUAGAUAUUCGCAAGAACACCAGUGGCGAAGGCGGCUCACUGGCCCGGUACUGACGCUGAGGUGCGAAAGCGUGGGGAGCAAACAGG
rnacentral:rRNA from 1 species